rnacentral:rRNA from 1 species
CAGCCGCCGCGGGAAAACAGAGGGUGCGAGCGUUAAUCGGAUUUACUGGGCGUAAAGCGUGCGUAGGCGGCUUCUUAAGUCGGAUGUGAAAUCCCUGAGCUUAACUUAGGAAUUGCAUUCGAUACUGGGAAGCUAGAGUAUGGGAGAGGAUGGUAGAAUUCCAGGUGUAGCGGUGAAAUGCGUAGAGAUCUGGAGGAAUACCGAUGGCGAAGGCAGCCAUCUGGCCUAAUACUGACGCUGAGGUACGAAAGCAUGGGGAGCAAACAGGAUUAGAUACCCCAGUAGUCCCUGUCUCUUAUAU